rnacentral:rRNA from 1 species
UACGUAGGGGGCAAGCGUUGUCCGGAUUCAUUGGGCGUAAAGAGCUCGUAGGCGGCUUGGCAAGUCGGGUGUGAAACCUCCAGCUCAACCUGGAGACGCCACCCGAUACUGCCAUGGCUAGAGUCCGGUAGGGGACCACGGAAUUCCUGGUGUAGCGGUGAAAUGCGCAGAUAUCAGGAGGAACACCGGUGGCGAAGGCGGUGGUCUGGGCCGGCACUGACGCUGAGGAGCGAAAGCGUGGGGAGCGAACAGG